rnacentral:piRNA from 1 species
UGAAGCAGGUGACGAAAAUUCAGUCCU